rnacentral:rRNA from 1 species
GAUGAACGCUGGCGGCGUGCCUAAUACAUGCAAGUCGAGCGAACGGACGAGAAGCUUGCUUCUCUGAUGUUAGCGGCGGACGGGUGAGUAACACGUGGAUAACCUACCUAUAAGACUGGGAUAACUUCGGGAAACCGGAGCUAAUACCGGAUGAUAUUUUGAACCGCAUGGUUCAAAAGUGAAAGACGGUCUUGCUGUCACUUAUAGAUGGAUCCGCGCUGCAUUAGCUAGUUGGUAAGGUAACGGCUUACCAAGGCAACGAUGCAUAGCCGACCUGAGAGGGUGAUCGGCCACACGGGAACGGAGACACGGUCCAGACUCCUACGGGAGGAAGCAGUGGGGAAUCUUCCGCAAUGGGCGAAAGCCUGACGGAGCAAGGCCGCGUGAGUGAUGAAGGUCUUCGGAUCGUAAAACUCUGUUAUUAGGGAAGAACAUAUGUGUAAGUAACUGUGCACAUCUUGACGGUACCUAAUCAGAAAGCCACGGCUAACUACGUG